GGGCGUAGAGGGCUCGCAGGCGGUUUCUUAAGUCUGAUGUGAAAGCCCCCGCCUCAACCGGGGAGGGUCAUUGGAAACUGGGGAACUUGAGUGCCUAAGAAGAGAGUGGAAUUCCACGUGUAGCGGUGAAAUGCGUAGAGAUGUGGAGGAACACCAGUGGCGAAGGCGACUCUCUGGUCUGUAACUGACGCUGAGGAGCGAAAGCGUGGGGAGCGAACAGGAUUAGAUACCCUGGUAGUCCACGCCGUAAACGAUGAGUGCUAAGUGUUAGGGGGUUUCCGCCCCUUAGUGCUGCAGCUAACGCAUUAAGCACUCCGCCUGGGGAGUACGGUCGCAAGACUGAAACUCAAAGGAAUUGACGGGGGCCCGCACAAGCGGUGGAGCAUGUGGUUUAAUUCGAAGCAACGCGAAGAACCUUACCAGGUCUUGACAUCCUCUGACAAUCCUAGAGAUAGGACGUCCCCUUCGGGGGCAGAGUGACAGGUGGUGCAUGGUUGUCGUCAGCUCGUGUCGUGAGAUGUUGGGUUAAGUCCCGCAACGAGCGCAACCCUUGAUCUUAGUUGCCAGCAUUCAGUUGGGCACUCUAAGGUGACUGCCGGUGACAAACCGGAGGAAGGUGGGGAUGACGUCAAAUCAUCAUGCCCCUUAUGACCUGGGCUACACACGUGCUACAAUGGACAGAACAAAGGGC
rnacentral:rRNA from 1 species